AACUGGCCUGCAAAAUCCCUUC
rnacentral:miRNA from 1 species